rfam:Trichomalopsis sarcophagae strain Alberta scaffold6084, whole genome shotgun sequence.
UAAUCAGCCCUUUUUAGGGCUACCAAAUAUUUUUUAACGUAUAAAC